CAGUAGCCGCGGUAACACGGAGGGUGCAAGCGUUAUCCGGAUUUAUUGGGUUUAAAGGGUCCGUAGGCGGACUUAUAAGUCAGUGGUGAAAGCCUGUCGCUUAACGAUAGAACUGCCAUUGAUACUGUAAGUCUUGAGUAUAUUUGAGGUAGCUGGAAUAAGUAGUGUAGCGGUGAAAUGCAUAGAUAUUACUUAGAACACCAAUUGCGAAGGCAGGUUACCAAGAUAUAACUGACGCUGAGGGACGAAAGCGUGGGUAGCGAACAGGAUUAGAUCCCCAGUAGUCCCUGUCUCUUAUACA
rnacentral:rRNA from 1 species